CAAAAACAAAACAAAAA
rnacentral:sRNA from 1 species